rnacentral:tRNA from 1 species
GGCCUCGUAGCUCAACUGGUAGAGCGUGCGCGUACAAAGCGUAGGCGGCGUCCAUGCGUGGGAUCGAAUCCCACCGAGGCCA